rnacentral:rRNA from 1 species
UUUAACGGCCGCGGUAUUAUAACCGUGCAAAGGUAGCGUAAUCACUUGUCCCCUAAAUAGAGACCAGUAUGAACGGCUAAAUGAGGGUGAAACUGUCUUUUAUGGCCAACCAGUGAAACUGAUCCCCUAGUACAAAAGCUAGGAUAAACUCACAAGACGAGAAGACCCUGUGGAGCUUAUAACUAACACCACAACAGUUUAAGUUGGGGCAACUUCGGAGAACAACCUAACCUCCGAGCAACAGGAAAAAGGGCCACAACCCCAAUAAAUUGACCCAGUACCACUGAUAAACGAACCAAGUUACCCCAGGGAUAACAGCGCCAUCCUCUCCAAGAGUCCCUAUCGCCGAGAGGGUUUACGACCUCGAUGUUGGAUCAGGACACCCAAGUGGUGCAGACGCUACUAAAGGCCCGUUUGUUCAACGGCUAACGUCCUAC